GAGAACAACGAGAAAAGACAACACACAUUUUUCCAAAUGCUAUUUCUUAAAAAUGUAUUUAAUCAGCAAUGUUUUGUAUUACUUAUUUAUAUAAACUAUGUUACAGCUAUACUUUAUUUAUUUGACUAUACUGUAGCGUGCUACACCUCGUGCACCUCGGUUUGGAGAAUAUUAUGGAACACAUUUGAUGGAAAAAAAAGAACACAACAGUCCCAGUCAUACCAGGAUGUCUGGUCAUCCUACUCUUUUGUCAACUACAGAUUAGAUACAGAGCUCCUUGUCUUCCAGGGAAAGUGACAGGAGCCAGGACAGAUGAGGCCUGCCUUUCCUGGAGCCUGAAUACUGAUAAUCGACUGCAGUUGCCAUCAACAGGAGAUUGCCAACUUAAGUAGCAAUAGUGUCUCAAGAAGGACUUGUUGACAUUUCAUGAAAUCAGAAAGGCUCAACUCAAGCCUUUUGUUUCACUUUUUAAAAACUAUUUAAAAUAUACAUUUAUGAAAUAAAGUAUGUUCAUACAGUAGCUAGACAUAAAAGAGCCGCCUUGAUCGAUUUUGUAUUUUUAUACACCAACAACUACAGCAGAGAGAUUUUGAUAGAUACUGUUUUUUGCGGUUAAUGUUUCUAUGCUAGAAUGUAAAAGUAAUCAUUGCUGUAGGCAUAUAAUUAUAGACAGUGGAUGUUAUAAAUGUUGACAGCUGAGAACAAAUAUUUAUUGUAUGUAUUUUAUUUAUUUAUUUGGAUCAAGCUAACUCUCACCACGGAUUAGACAAACUUAAUGAUCCAAUUAAUAAGCUUUAUUCAGGAGAAACAUGUCAGCGUUAGUCUUAAGAAACCUGCUGCAGUCGAUACCCUUCCAGGAAAUAUCUUUCAUGAUUGCAUAUUAAAUUUAAUCUGACACCCUAAAUAUAGUUCUUUGUAUAUUGUAUAGGUUGGCUGUAUUUACUACUAUCCUUAUGGGUCUCAAAAAAGCAAACUAAUUUUUAACAAAAAGUAACUGUUAUAAAUCGUGUACAUCUAAAGAGUAAUAUUAUUUUAUCUUUUUUUCUUUCUUCUUUUUUUUUGUCGGGGGUUUCGUUCAACAAAGAUGUCUGUCAUGAAGAAUUUAAGUUUCAUAUUUUCAUCUGUCAGUCUUGAAAAGGCCUGUCAUCUGAAGCUUGAAGUACAGUUUGCCGACAGGCUUUUAGACCACAAUGACAAUACAAUCUUAUAUUUGUGCUACCAGGCUCCAAAUAAUCCCCACUUCCCUCCUCACUGGCCCAGUUAUGAUCUGGCUUAAGUUGCAUAUUUUGUUUCUAUCAGGAUUUUGCUGAUAAAUGCUAUCAGCAAGAGUGAAAUGAAAUAUGGGAGGUCCAGCUCUUAUUACAAGAAUAUAUAUUUACCAUUUUAAAGAGAAGGGUUGUUCAUAUUUUGGAAUUUACCUCCAUAACAUAAAAUAAUGAGUACAUUGUUAAUAUCUUUAAAGAAUGUGACUUCAGAAUCCCACCAGUAACUGCUACAUGUCAUGCAAUUACUUAUUAGUCUUUUUUCAAGUUCCAGAUCAAAAAGUAUAUCAAGUAACACACACAGCAUUACUAAUGUGGAGCUUUCCAACCACACUGGCAUUUAUUUGUUUAUUCUAUCUUUAGCUUGAUUAAAAAAAUGU